CCGGCGACCGGCGCACGGUGAGUAACACGUAUGCAACCUGCCCUCUUCAGGGGGACAACCUUCCGAAAGGGAGGCUAAUCCCGCGUAUAUCGGUUUCGGGCAUCCGAGAUCGAGGAAAGAUUCAUCGGAAGAGGAUGGGCAUGCGGCGCAUUAGCUAGACGGCGGGGUAACGGCCCACCGUGGCGACGAUGCGUAGGGGUUCUGAGAGGAAGGUCCCCCACACUGGUACUGAGACACGGACCAGACUCCUACGGGAGGCAGCAG
rnacentral:rRNA from 1 species